rnacentral:rRNA from 1 species
UCAGGCCUAACACAUGCAAGUCGAACGGUAACAGGAAGAAGCUUAGCUUCUUUGCUGACGAGUGGCGGACGGGUGAGUAAUGUCUGGGAAACUGCCUGAUGGAGGGGGAUAACUACUGGAAACGGUAGCUAAUACCGCAUAACGUCGCAAGACCAAAGAGGGGGACCUUCGGGCCUCUUGCCAUCAGAUGUGCCCAGAUGGGAUUAGCUAGUAGGUGGGGUAACGGCUCACCUAGGCGACGAUCCCUAGCUGGUCUGAGAGGAUGACCAGCCACACUGGAACUGAGACACGGUCCAGACUCCUACGGGAGGCAGCAGUGGGGAAUAUUGCACAAUGGGCGCAAGCCUGAUGCAGCCAUGCCGCGUGUAUGAAGAAGGCCUUCGGGUU